UGUUACGCACAGCUCAGUAACACGUGGCUAACCUGCCCUCGAGACGGUGACAACCCCGGGAAACUGGGGCUAAUCUCCGAUAGGCGAAGAGCUCUGGAAUGAGCCUUUACCCAAACAGCAAUCAGGCUAUGCUUCUGAUUGUCGCUCGAGGAUGGGGCCGCGACCGAUCAGGUUGUUGGUGAGGUAACGGCUCACCAAGCCUAUAACCGGUGCGGGCCGUGGGAGCGGGAGCCCGGAGAUGGGCACUGAGACAAGGGCCCAGGCCCUACGGGGCGCAGCAGUCGCGCAAACUUUGCAAUACACGAAAGUGUGACAGGGCUAUCCCGAGUGCCGUCCGCUGAGGAUGGCUUUUACCCAGUCUAGAACGCUGGGGGAAUAAGGAGAGGGCAAGUCUGGUGUCAGCCGCCGCGGUAAUACCAGCUCUCCGAGUGGUGUGGAUGUUUAUUGGGCCUAAAGCAUCCGUAGCUGGCCAAGCUAGUCCCUUGUUAAACCCACCGAACCAAUCGUUGGAUCGCGGGGGAUACUGCUCGGCUAGGGGACGAGAGAGGCAGACGGUAUUUUCGGGGUAGGGGUGAAAUCCUAUAAUCCCGGGAAGACCACCAGUGGCGAAGGCUGUCUGCUAGAACGCGCCCGACGGUGAGGGAUGAAAGCUGGGGAGCGAACCGGAUUAGAUACCCGGGUAGUCCCAGCUGUAAACGAUGCAGGCUAGGUGUUUGGGCGGCCACGUGCCGCUCUAGUGCCGCAGGGAAGCUGUAAGCCUGCCGCCUGGGAGUAAGUCGCAGGAUUGAACUUAAAGGCCA
rnacentral:rRNA from 1 species